CCGCGGGCUAGUCCGGGUGGCUCGGCGUCACCUGUAACCCGAGAUCGCCGAUAUGCGGGGGACGAAGCUGGUGGACGACUGCGGUGCUGCAGGUACAGUCCAGUUGCCGACUGUGAUUCUCCGCCCUGUGGGGACAGCAUUGACGUUCGGGCCUGCCGGAGGGCAGGUCUGUUCAUCUCAACUGCGGGGACCGGUUCAGGCCCGGAAGGGAGCAGACCUACCGCGGAUAACUGUCGCUUGCAGACUUGCGGGGAGGAGAAGGUCUCUGGGGCACCUGGCCUGUGGCGUUGCUGGCUACCGCCGGCGCGCCCGCAU
rfam:Methanosaeta harundinacea 6Ac, complete genome.